rnacentral:lncRNA from 1 species
CAAUACCAGUAAAUUUUAUAAAACGAACACUAAAAAAUAUUUUUACUUUAAUAUUUUUAACAUGAAAAAUUAUACCAAUCAAACACAAUAAAUUGACAAUUCCCAAGAAAAUAAUUUCUAGACAACUCAAUUCCCUCAAAUUUAUUAUCUUUCCACCCAAAUUCCAUCUUUGUAAUCAAACAGACCCAUAAUGCAAAAUUCGAAUCUUAAAAUAAUAUAAAAAACCAAAACUUUUCAUUCUACGAUUUUUUUUUUUUUUUUUUUUUUUUUUUUGAACUCCAUAGCCUCAUUUUAGGAAAAUAAAAAUGGGUGAAAUAGUAUUUUUUGAAAAAUGUGUGAUUGAAAAGAAAGGAAAAUUUUUCAAUUUAUAUAUAAUAUUAUUUUAUGAAAGAUUGUGUAAUUAAAAAUAGAAAAAAAUGAAAGAUAAAUUAAUAGGGCCAAACAGGAGCAUUUGACAGAAAAUUUCAAGGUACAUCCCCUUGACCUGGCUGUAAACCAGGAACCCAGAACCCCAACGGACUCUAACUAUUGGUAGGUCCCACAACCCAAAAUUCCUACCAACUCUCAGGGCAAGUGGGUCCCGCAUCCCACAACCCCAAAACUCUUAUCAAACCUCACAACAGGUGGGUCCUACAUCCCACAACCCAAAACUCCUAGCAUGGGACCUACUUUUAUAAAAAAUUGGCCCGACCCCCACCCCACGCACGCCAUGAUAUGAGCCCCUGCCUGUAUCUCAAGCUUCGCCCACGAAUAUGAAAUGGGUUAUUCUUGAAAACCCCCCUUAUUUUUUGAACACCGUUAUGUAUUGGGUGAUUUACCCCAAGAGUAAUUUAUAUGAAAUACCAUCCCAAGGUAUGUAUGUUAUUUAAAGGUUAAUCAAUUAGUUGAACACCAAAACAUAGAUUCGAGGUGCAAAGCAUAUAGAUGAAUUCGCACAAUUUAUGCAAAUUAAAAGACAAGUAUCAAUCUCACAGAAAUAACAAUCAAACAAGCAUCUUCAAGGGGAAUUAUUCAACUUAAUUUUCUUCGAUCUUGUCAGCAGCUUUACUCCCUCCAUCUGAUUUGCUUUACCGCUAGAUCCAACAACAUAUAACAAACACUAAAUAUAAACGAGAAGAGUGGAAUCCAAUCCACCCUAGAAACAAAUUCAUAAUAACACAAAAAAGGAGAUCUGAAAUCGAAACUUGGAGAAGUUAGGGAAAGAAAGGAAUCCAGAGGAAAUUGUUGGAAUGGGAGGACUCGGAAAGAAACAGGAGGAAAUUCCUUCCUUCCGCAGAACUCCAUUCCAAUAACUUCAUCUACACCCAUUUCCUUUCCCCCUUCUCCACCAACCCUUUCUCUCCGUAUGUC